AGGAGAGAUGGCUUAAAGGGGUGCGCGAGCUUCUUUUGUGCACCUGCUCUAGGAUGGGACUGCGGCCGAUCAGGCUGUUGGUGGGGUAAUGGCCCACCAAACCUGUAACCGGUACGGGCCUUGAGAGAGGGGGCCCGGAGAUGGACACUGAGAGAAGGGUCCAGGUCCUACGGGGCGCAGCAGGCGCGAAACCUUCGCAAUGCGCGAAAGCGUGACGAGGUUAAUCCGAGUGGUUCCCGCUGAGGGAAUCUUUUGUUGGCUCUAAAAUGGCCAGUGAAUAAGGGGAGGGCAAGUCUGGUGUCAGCCGCCGCGGUAAUACCAGCUCCUCGAGUGGUCGGGGCGAUUAUUGGGCCUAAAGCAUCCGUAGCCUGUUCUGUAGGUCUUCUGUUAAAUCCAACGGCUUAACCGUUGGUCUGCAGAAGAUACCGCAGGACUAGGAGGCGGGAGAGGUGGACGGUACUCCACGUGUAGGGGUAAAAUCCUUUGAUCCGUGGAAGACCACCAGUGGCGAAGGCGGUCCACCAGAACGCGCUCGACGGUGAGGGAUGAAAGCUGGGGGAGCGAACCGGAUUAGAUACCCGGGUAGUCCCAGCCGUAAACGAUGCGAGCUAGAUGAUCCAAUCGCAAAUCGCGAUUGGAGUGUCGCAGGGAAGCCGUUA
rnacentral:rRNA from 1 species